CGGCGUCGAGCGGCGGACGGGUGAGUAAUGCCUAGGAAAUUGCCCUGAUGUGGGGGAUAACCAUUGGAAACGAUGGCUAAUACCGCAUAAUGCCUACGGGCCAAAGAGGGGGACCUUCGGGCCUCUCGCGUCAGGAUAUGCCUAGGUGGGAUUAGCUAGUUGGUGAGGUAAUGGCUCACCAAGGCGACGAUCCCUAGCUGGUCUGAGAGGAUGAUCACCCACACUGGAACUGAGACACGGUCCAGACUCCUACGGGAGGCAGCAGUGGGGAAUAUUGCACAAUGGGCGCAAGCCUGAUGCAGCCAUGCCGCGUGUGUGAAGAAGGCCUUCGGGUUGUAAAGCACUUUCAGUCGUGAGGAAGGUAGUGUAGUUAAUAGCUGCAUUAUUUGACGUUAGCGACAGAAGAAGCACCGGCUAACUCCGUGCCAGCAGCCGCGGUAAUACGGAGGGUGCGAGCGUUAAUCGGAAUUACUGGGCGUAAAGCGCAUGCAGGUGGUUUGUUAAGUCAGAUGUGAAAGCCCGGGGCUCAACCUCGGAAUAGCAUUUGAAACUGGCAGACUAGAGUACUGUAGAGGGGGGUAGAAUUUCAGGUGUAGCGGUGAAAUGCGUAGAGAUCUGAAGGAAUACCGGUGGCGAAGGCGGCCCCCUGGACAGAUACUGACACUCAGAUGCGAAAGCGUGGGGAGCAAACAGGAUUAGAUACCCUGGUAGUCCACGCCGUAAACGAUGUCUACUUGGAGGUUGUGGCCUUGAGCCGUGGCUUUCGGAGCUAACGCGUUAAGUAGACCGCCCGGGGGAGUACGGUCGCAAGAUUAAAACUCAAAUGAAUUGACGGGGGCCCGCACAAGCGGUGGAGCAUGUGGUUUAAUUCGAUGCAACGCGAAGAACCUUACCUACUCUUGACAUCCAGAGAACUUUCCAGAGAUGGAUUGGUGCCUUCGGGAACUCUGAGACAGGUGCUGCAUGGCUGUCGUCAGCUCGUGUUGUGAAAUGUUGGGUUAAGUCCC
rnacentral:rRNA from 1 species